ACCUUUUGCAUCAUGAUUUAGCUAGCAUAAUUGAGCAAAAAGAAAUUUAGUUCAAGCCCCCGAAACUAAACGAGCUACUCCAGGACAGCCAAUCAUUGGGCAAACCCGUCUCUGUGGCAAAAGAGUGGGAAGAGCCUAGAGUAGAGGUGAAAAGCCUAUCGAGUCUAGUUAUAGCUGGUUGCCUAAGAAAUGGAUUUAAGUUCAGCCUCCUGGCUUCUAUACUCAAACCCCACACAUAAAGAAUCCAAGAAACCAAGAGAGUUAGUCAAAGGGGGCUCAGCCCCUUUGACAAAGGACACAACCUUACCAGUAGGAAAAAGAUCAUACCCCCCAAGGAAAUCCUACUAAAGUGGGCCUAAAAGCAGCCACCUUAAAAGAAAGCGUUAUAGCUCAACACCCCUUUCCCCAGAAAUCAUGACAACACUAUCUUUAUCCCCUAACAACAAAAGGCCAUUCCACCCCGUGGAAGAGACCAUGCUAAUAUGAGUAAUAAGAGACUACCAAGACUCUCUCCUGGCACAAGCGUGAAUC
rnacentral:rRNA from 1 species